rnacentral:rRNA from 1 species
UAAUCAAACUGGGAAAUAGCUCGUACUCCCCGAAAUGUUUUUAGGAACAGCGUCGGCAUUAAGUUUCAUAGAGGUAGAGCUACUAAUUGGGUGCGGGGGAGUCAAAUCCUACCAAAUCCAGAUAAACUCCGAAUGCUAAUGAAAUAUGGCCGGCAGUGAGGCGCGGGGUGCUAAGGUCACGCGCCGAGAGGGAAAGAACCCAGACCAUCAGCUAAGGUCCCCAAGUGUACGCUAAGUUGAACUAACGAGGUCCGAUUGCACAGACAGCUAGGAUGUUGGCUUGGAAGCAGCCAUUCAUUUAAAGAGUGCGUAACAGCUCACUAGUCGAGCGAUCGGGCAUGGAUAAUAAACGGGCAUUAAGUGUAUCACCGAAGCUAUGGACUCGAAAGAGUGGUAGGGGAGCAUUCUAACAUCAGUGAAGCUAUACGCGUCAGCGGUGGUGGAGAGGUUAGAAAAGCAAAUGUAGGCAUAAGUAACGAUAAGGCGGGAGAGAAACCCGCCCACCGAAAGACUAAGGUUUCCUGAUCAACGCUAAUCGGAUCAGGGUUAGUCGGGGCCUAAGACAAACCCAAACGGGGUAGUCGAUGGACAACAUGUUAAUAUUCAUGUACCGGCUCAACUGCGAUGGGGUGGUGGAGUAGUGAAAGGUCUGCGUACUGACGGAAUAGUACGUUGAAGGGUGUAGAUAUAUUUGGAGUAGGCAAAUCCGCUUCGAAUGUCGAACCUGAUAGUACCGUGAGCCUUCGGGCAAGCGGAUAAUGACCCUAAUCAGACUCACAAGAAAAACCCCUAAGCUUCAGGUUGAAGCCGCCCGUACCGGAAACCGACACAGGUGGUCGAGGAGAGUAUCCAAAGGUGCUCGAGUGAAUCAUGGCUAAGGAACUAGGCAAAUUAGUCCUGUAACUUCGGGAAAAAGGACCCCCACUUUGUGGGGCGCAGAGAAAUGGCCCAGGCGACUGUUUAUCAAAAACACAUGGCUUUGCUAAAUCGAAAGAUGACGUAUAAGGCCUGACACCUGCCCGGUGCUGGAAGGUUAAGAGGAGAGGUUAGUCGCAAGGCGAAGCUUUGAAUUGAAGCCCCAGUAAACGGCGGCCGUAACUAUAACGGUCCUAAGGUAGCGAAAUUCCUUGUCGGGUAAGUUCCGACCUGCACGAAUGGUGUAACGAUCUGGGCACUGUCUCAGCCAUGAGCUCGGUGAAAUUGUAGUUCCGGUGAAGAUGCCGGAUACCCGCAACGGGACGGAAAGACCCCGUGCACCUUCACUAUAACUUUGCAUUGACUGUGAAUAAACGAUGUGUAGGAUAGGUGGGAGAUUGUGAAGCGGAGGCGCCAGCUUUCGUGGAAUCAACCUUGAAAUACCACCCUUUGUUUAUUUGUAGCCUAAUCCCCAACGGGAGACAUUGCAUGGUGGGUAGUUUGACUGGGGUGGUCGCCUCCAAAAGAGUAACGGA